rfam:Candidatus Komeilibacteria bacterium RIFCSPLOWO2_01_FTLL_45_10 rifcsplowo2_01_scaffold_25028, whole genome shotgun sequence.
CAAGGGUUUGGCUGUUCGCCAAUUAAAGCGGUACGCGAGCUGGGUUCAGAACGUAAAUUACAUUGCGUUAUAUCAUAGAAAUAUGAUAUUAGAGCACUGACUCAUAACGGUGAAACCCUACUAAAAAAGAUCGAAUUUUUAGAGGGCAAUACCGUGGGAAGGUACAAGUUUGUGUCAAUAAUUUCGUCUACAGUAAAAUCUUAUAUAGCCGGAUUUUUAGACGGCGAUGGCUGCAUUAUGUUUCAGUUAAUCAGCCGGAAAGAUUAUCAUUAUGGUUUCCAGAUAAGAGCCAGUAUCGUCUUUUAUCAAAAGACCAAAAAUAGAUAUCAUCUGGAAUGGUUAAAAAACAUUUUCAGCUCAGGUUAUAUUCGUAAUCGCAACGAUGAUAUGACAGAAUAUACCAUUGUUGGAAUUAAGCCGGUAAUAAAGAUUUUGAAAUUAUUGAGGCCUUAUAUACUGCUUAAGAAGGAACACGUUAAGUUGGCUUUUCAAAUUGAUAAACUGCUUAAUGGCAGUUUCCGCUUAACUAGGUUUAUCCAAGCGGCUGAAUUAGUGGAUAAAUUUGCAGUGAUUAAUUAUUCAAAGAAAAGAACCAAUACUUCAGUUAAGCUGAAAGAGUAUUUAAGGCAACAUAAGCUGUACCCCCGUAACGACUGAUCCCUGUCAAUCUAGGCAGGGUGAGAUAGAUUAUUUGCAAGACAAGAGAUUUUUAAAGAAAUCUAUCAAACGUCAGCCCCUAACUUAUAAAAUGUGUAAGAAGGGUGAAGGUAUAGUCUAUGCCGUUAGUAAUAACGGAAUAACAUGCGUAAGACAGUUCGGUCUCCUAUCUGCCACGGGCAUUAGAAUCUUGAGCAGGCCCUUCCCUAGUACGAGAGGACCGGGAAGGACGAACCACUCGUGGACCGGUUGCCACACCAGUGGCAUUGCCGGGUAGCGAUGUUCGGUUUGGAUAAACGCUGAAAGCAUCUAAGCGUGAAGCCGUCUGCAAGAUGAGGAUUCGUUAUUUAGGCCCCUUGGAGAUUACAAGGUUAAUAGGCCGCAGGUGUAAGCCCCGUAAGGGGUUCAGCCGAGCGGUACUAAUCGGCCAAUGUAACCACCAAU